rnacentral:lncRNA from 1 species
AUUAUUAACAUUUUUUAAAAUUCUUUAAAAACAUUAUAUCCUUUGUAGUUUGACAAUAUGGUUACCUUAUUACUCUAAUGAAUUAAAAUAUCAACAAAAAGGGAGUCCGAAGCUAAAAGGGUCAUUUUUUUCCUUCAAAAAAUAAAAAGGGCACAUCAAAAAAAAAAAUUAACCAAAAGGGAAAAAUCCCUCCUGACGGAUCGAUUUUCUUCUGACAAAAAUUGACG